AUGGUUAGUUUAGGUCGUAACAACAGUCACACGUGAGAUUGUUUUCCCAAAUACCUGAUACUGUAGAUUUUUAUUAUAGUCUGUCUUUGAUCGCACAACCGUGACGACGGCCGUCCUUGAACCUCUCUGUGCGAGGGGUUCGCACGGAGCAGGAUCUGUACGCACGACUUAUUGACUCUGUCACUAAACAGCCCAUAUCCUAUGAGGGACAAAACAAGAAUCCAGAAAUGUGCAGAGUUCUGCUCACACAUGAGGUUAUGUGCAG